rnacentral:rRNA from 1 species
UACGAAGGGGGCUAGCGUUGCUCGGAAUCACUGGGCGUAAAGCGCACGUAGGCGGCUUUUUAAGUCAGGGGUGAAAUCCUGGAGCUCAACUCCAGAACUGCCUUUGAUACUGAGAAGCUUGAGUCCGGGAGAGGUGAGUGGAACUGCGAGUGUAGAGGUGAAAUUCGUAGAUAUUCGCAAGAACACCAGUGGCGAAGGCGGCUCACUGGCCCAGUACUGACGCUGAGGUGCGAAAGCGUGGGGAGCGAACAGG